CCCACGGAGAGGAGAAAAAAGUCUUCGAGAAGCUUUAGAGGAAGCCCACAGUGCGUUGAGCAAAAAAAAGGUAUGCAGCCACGUGUGUGCACAGUCAGCUCCGACUUGUCACACGCCACGUGACGCAUAGGGAAUAUGUAGUACAACAAAACUCAUCUGCAAAGCUGAGUUGGCAACACCAUAAUAUUUGAAGAAGCUGAGUUGUCAAUAUCAUAAUACUCCAUAUAUAUAUAUAUAUAUGAUCUGUACCCAGAGCAGGAUCAAAUAAUUUUUUUUGUUCCCCAUCAGAUCAUGUAGUUUUUAGCAUCAUAUAAGAAACUUAAUUCAAUUUAUCAUCAGAUAAGAAAAAAAAAUCAAAUAUAAUAAUAUUAAAAAAAUAAUAUUCUUUUAGAACAUAUAAUUUAUUUUUUAAAAAAUAUUUUGAUUUUAUUUUUACUCUUUAAAAAUAUACAAUCAUUCAAUACAAAAUAGUUGGUACCUAACAGUGGCACAAUACACAACUAUAUGCAUCAUGUUAUAAGAUAUUAAGUAUCAUUCUUAUGUAGAACUUCAUCUUUGAUUUUAAAAUUCUACUUUAAAUUAGCAUCAAGGUAAUAAUAAAUUUUUUAAACUAUCAAGUAAUAACAAAAAAUAAUCCAUAAAAAAUAAUAUAUUAUAAUAAAUUUCAUUAAGAGGGAG
rnacentral:lncRNA from 1 species